rnacentral:rRNA from 1 species
ACGAACGCUGGCGGCAGGCCUAACACAUGCAAGUCGAGCGAGGACUUCGGUCCUAGCGGCGGACGGGUGAGUAACGCGUGGGAACGUGCCCUUUGCUUCGGAAUAGCCCUGGGAAACUGGGAGUAAUACCGGAUGAGCCCUUUGGGGGAAAGAUUUAUCGGCGAAGGAUCGGCCCGCGUUGGAUUAGGUAGUUGGUGGGGUAAUGGCCUACCAAGCCGACGAUCCAUAGCUGGUUUGAGAGGAUGAUCAGCCACACUGGGACUGAGACACGGCCCAGACUCCUACGGGAGGCAGCAGUGGGGAAUCUUAGACAAUGGGGGAAACCCUGAUCGAGCCAUGCCGCGUGAGCGAUGAAGGCCUUAGGGUUGUAAAGCUCUUUCAGCUGGGAAGAUAAUGACGGUACCAGCAGAAGAAGCCCCGGCUAACUCCGUG